CUGGAAACUGCCCAGCUUGCUACCCUGUUGCUGUCUGAGUCCAUGUCCUCUGAACCCUUGCUCCUGUUGUCAUCCUGCUCAUAUCACUUACCUGCCUAUGUUCCUGGUCAAGUUGUUAACAAGAAGAAUAAGGAGCAAGAUGACUUUUUUAACCAAAACUGUAUGAUGAAGUGAUAUGGCUGAAAGAUGAGUCACCAAUGAAGAAUUCUGGCUUUCUGCUGUGGUUUGGACUGCAUUAGUUUCAAAGGUCUGUGAUCUGUUUGGAGAACACACUCUCUUCUUAUAAGAGGACAGGCUUUUCUUUGCCAGGUACACCCUGAUCACACUCCUCCAUGUCCAGUAUAAGAGGCAUCCACUUGUAUAACAAAUGGGAGAGGACCCUGAAAGUCAUCAUUAUUCCAAAUGACCUUUUGAAGUGGAGGGACACUCUGAUAUGGUUGAUAUUCUACAAGUUCUUCAUUCUUUAUAAAUAUAAUGUGAACUAUUUUUGAUAAAUGUUUAUGCUAAAAUUGUUUUUUCCUGUUUAGUUACUGCUGUUGUCUCGCCAUCAAUCAAAACUGAAUAUCCACAAUCUUUUCUAAUGCCAUUUAUUUAUCAUUCUCCACACUUUACCUAUUUUUGUAACCCUUCCUAAAGAGUUACAGAACAUUCUUCAAUAUUCUAUUUUGUUCUUUGUAUAACUCUAACAUUAGCAUUUGCCGUCCUGUUUUCAGGAUUUCUAAGAUGGACUUUCUGACUUUCUUCCAACCAUCCAUUGCAUUGUUUAUAGCUGCUUCUCCUUGCAAUGUUGUUGGGGGAGGCGUGGGCAAGAGGUUGGGAACACCCUAAUGUCUCCAGUCCAUCACACAUGAGACACACAGUACAAACAAUCAUGCAUGCACACACUGUUGUUCACCAUGGCACAAUCUUUUUUUCAACUGAUUGUUGAUAUGAAUUUGAACAAUUCCUUUCUCACUUGUAAUUUGUAUUUAGUCCAGUCAGCUCUCAUAAACAGAGCAAACAUAUUAUCUUUUUGUCUAAAUGUAAUAUUACCUCAUUUCACAAAUUAAAAGAUAACCUUCUGAAAUGAUUGUAAACAUAA